AUUUGGGAGAGGGAGAUGAAGGGUGUUUCGGGGAGAGAGAGAAGGCUUCGGCGAGAGGGAAAGGACGCGCGAGGAAGAUGAUGAGCUGUCGCGGGGGUUUUUAAGGGACGCGCAGUUUCGGCGGCCGAACUAAUCUUCGGCGGCCGAAUCUGGGCAGGUUUAGGAGGCCGAAAUUAAUCUUCGGCGGCCGAACUUCAUAAUGUUCGGCGGCCGAAUAAAAUGUUAGGCGGCCGAAAAGAAAGAAAAGAAAACAGACAAAAAAAAUUCCCGCUUUUCAUAUUGCCCUUGAAAUUGAAGGUUA
rnacentral:lncRNA from 1 species